GGCUUCAGCUGGGUGUCUGAGGAAGAAGCAACAGAGGCCAUUACCUGGGUUGGAGAAGGGAGGCAGAAAAGGCCUGGGGUAUGAGGCCCAGCGUGCCCACUGGGCCCCAGGAGAUGGGGGCUGGUAUGGAGGCCUGAGCAGGGCAAAUCUGCAGCCUGGGCCAGCCCAGAGGGUGCCCGUCUGCUCUGUGGGGUGCAGGUGGGGGAACCAACCAGGGGGUGGCCACCACUGCGGAACCAGGGGGCUACGGCCCAGUUGGGGGCACCUUGCACUCAGGAGCCCCUCCUGCUCCAAGCAGAGGGCUCUUAUUUGACCCUACGGAGAUGAGAAGAGAAUCCUGGUGAUGCCUGAGGCUGAAUUUCCCACUGGACAGGUAGAGGCAGAAGAAGGUUUCACAUGUGAACAAAGAAGGUCGGGGGCCACGUCAACAAACAAAGGAUGCUGAGGCCGUCAAGCCAUCAAGCCAGCAGCCACCGCAGCCUGCCCUGACUGUGUACCCUGAGAGGAUUCAGAUUGGAGAAAAGCAGGAUACUGGCUCCAGCAGGUGUUCAAUGUUCAGUGAAUAAAUCAACAAGGAAUAAGGGAGUAAACGAGAGGGUACCAAGAGGGAUCACAACUGCCUGAGAAAGCU
ensembl:lncRNA